GAUGAACGCUGGCGGCGUGCCUAAUACAUGCAAGUCGAGCGAAUGGAUUAAGAGCUUGCUCUUAUGAAGUUAGCGGCGGACGGGUGAGUAACACGUGGGUAACCUGCCCAUAAGACUGGGAUAACUCCGGGAAACCGGGGCUAAUACCGGAUAACGUUUUGAACCGCAUGGUUCGAAAUUGAAAGGCGGCUUCGGCUGCCACUUAUGGAUGGACCCGCGUCGCAUUAGCUAGUUGGUGAGGUAACGGCUCACCAAGGCAACGAUGCGUAGCCUACCGGAGAGGGUGAUCGGCCACACUGGGACUGAGACACGGCCCAGACUCCUGCGGGAGGCAGCAGUAGGGAAUCUUCCGCAAUGGACGAAAGUCUGACGGAGCAACGCCGAGUGAGUGAUGAAGGCUUUCGGGUCGUAAAACUCUGUUGUUAGGGAAGAACAAGUGCUAGUUGAAUAAGCUGGCACCUUGACGGUACCUAACCAGAAAGCCACGGCUAACUACGUGCCAGCCGCCGCUGUAA
rnacentral:rRNA from 1 species